rnacentral:rRNA from 1 species
UGGGGAAUAUUGCACAAUGGGCGAAAGCCUGAUGCAGCGACGCCGCGUGAGGGAUGACGGCCUUCGGGUUGUAAACCUCUUUCAGCAGGGACGAAGCGCAAGUGACGGUACCUGCAGAAGAAGCACCGGCUAACUACGUGCCAGCAGCCGCGGUAAUACGUAGGGUGCAAGCGUUGUCCGGAAUUACUGGCGUAAAGAGUUCGUAGGCGGUUUGUCGCGUCGUUUGUGAAAACCAGCAGCUCAACUGCUGGCUUGCAGGCGAUACGGGCAGACUUGAGUACUGCAGGGGAGACUGGAAUUCCUGGUGUAGCGGUGAAAUGCGCAGAUAUCAGGAGGAACACCGGUGGCGAAGGCGGGUCUCUGGGCAGUAACUGACGCUGAGGAACGAAAGCGUGGGUAGCGAACAGG